rnacentral:rRNA from 1 species
AGCGAACGCUGGCGGCAGGCCUAACACAUGCAAGUCGAACGAACUCUUCGGAGUUAGUGGCGGACGGGUGAGUAACACGUGGGAACGUGCCUUUAGGUUCGGAAUAACUCAGGGAAACUUGUGCUAAUACCGAAUGUGCCCUUCGGGGGAAGGAUUUAUCGCCUUAGAGCGGCCCGCGUCUGAUUAGCUAGUUGGUGAGGUAAAGGCUCACCAAGGCGACGAUCAGUAGCUGGUCUGAGAGGAUGAUCAGCCACAUUGGGACUGAGACACGGCCCAAACUCCUACGGGAGGCAGCAGUGGGGAAUCUUGCGCAAUGGGCGAAAGCCUGACGCAGCCAUGCCGCGUGAAUGAUGAAGGUCUUAGGAUUGUAAAAUUCUUUCACCGGGGACGAUAAUGACGGUACCCGGAGAAGAAGCCCCGGCUAACUUCGUGCCAGCCGCCGCCGUAA